rnacentral:rRNA from 1 species
UACGGGGGGGCAAGCGUUGUUCGGAAUUACUGGGCGUAAAGGGUUCGUAGGUGGCCAAUUAAGUCAGACGUGAAAUCCCUCAGCUUAACUGGGGAACUGCGUCUGAGACUGGAUGGCUUGAGUGCAGGAGAGGAACGCGGAAUUCCAGGUGUAGCGGUGAAAUGCGUAGAUAUCUGGAGGAACACCGGUGGCGAAGGCGGCGUUCUGGACUGCAACUGACACUGAGGAACGAAAGCCAGGGGAGCAAACGGG